rnacentral:tRNA from 1 species
GUGGGUAUAGCUCAACAGUAGAGCGUGGGUUUAGCAUGCGUGAGGUCUGGGUUCAAUCCCCAGUACCUUCG